rnacentral:lncRNA from 1 species
UCCGCUAAUGAUGCCAUGUCACCUCGAUUACUGUGGCUAAUCUCGCGUUAGUUCGAAACCGAUUCAAAUUCAAAUUAAAAAUCAGGCGAAUGGCAAAAGUUUUCAAACAAUGAAACUAAAAUGACCGGGUCAUGCCAGAUAAUGCAUAGGUGAUUAUGGUGGUGAAACCAAACUUUUAUGAAAUGCUUAACUACACUAUAAUGAUUUAAAUAGUAGCAAAACUAAUUAUUUAAAUGCCUUUACUAAUUAAUAAAAUAUCAAACUAAAUUAUUUGGGGACUAGAGUUUUCGUGGCAGUGGACUAAAUUGAAAUACCAAAUUAUAUGCCAAGUAUAUAUUUUACAAAAACUAAAACAAUAGGAAACAAAGAUAAAACAUAAUAAAAUAAAAUAAAACAAAACAAAACAAGAAAUAAUAAGAAAAAGAAAAGAAACACCCCCAUGUUGGGCCAACCGGCCCAGCCGCCCCCUCUCUGGCCUACUUAGGCCCCUGCACUCCCACCGAAACCUAACUACCACACGCACUCCCCCCCCCACUCCCUCGCUCCCCCACUCCCCGAUCCCCUCUGGAUCGGGGCAACAACUGCCCCGCUGCCCCGGCGACGCCAGGCGCUCGCUGGACCUCGCCGGCGCCGCCCCAUCAUCUCUUCCCCGCCGGACCCCCUCGAGCUACGUCGCCACCAACACGACGCCGCCUUGCCGGAACGCGCCCUCGCCGGACCGCUCCGUCGUCGCCCCCUCGACCUCUCCCUCACCGGCCCCAUCGAGCCUCGCCGCCCCUGGUCUCUACAUCGCUGGUGAGGCCGGCUCCCUCUUCACCCUUGUUCCAGUCGCCGUAGCCGCCGCAUCAGAGCUCUGCUCCUGCGCCCGCGUCGUUCGUCGUGGCCUCGUCUCCGCUGCGCCACUCGCCGUCGCCCGCGGCUGCAACCGUGCCGAGGCCACGCCUGCCUCCGCGCCGAGGCCGCGCCUGCCUCCGCCCUCGCAGCUCCAGCCGCGCACCCCACUCCCCUUCCCAUGCGCCUCGCUGCUCGCCGAAGGACACCGGCCAGCGCCCCGCCUCCGUCGUCGCCUCCCUCCCGUGUUGUGGCCAUCCCCGGCUCCUGCCGCGCCGCGCCGCCCCCCUUACAUCCCACUGUGCGCGCCCGUUCGGCAGUGCCUUCCGCCGCGGCGCCCCUCACUGCCGGCCGUCGCUGGCCGCAUAGCCUAGCGCGCCUCGCCCCCUUGCCCGCGCUCAUCGAGGCUCCGCCUGCUGCCUUCCUCCGCCGGAGCCACCACGCUCGCUGGCCCGUCGCUCACCGUGCCGCCCCCCUUGGUGCUGCUGCUCAAGCAGUGGCCGCGGCCAUAGCCACCGCCGGCGCCGGACCCCGGUAGCCCGUGGCUGCGCCAUUUGGGCAGCGCCCAACGCCCAGCGCCCGGCGUGCCUCGCCGCCGCGCCUGAGGUCUGUGGUCGGGCGCCCACACGCCCUUCGCCCGUUACGCCCGAUCCGCUUAGGCCCCAGGGGCCACUGGACAACGGGCCCCACGCCCAGAACAAAAUAAAAAAAUGUGUUAUAAAAAAUAAACAAUAAUUAAAUUAAUUAAUUAAAGAAUUAAUUAACUUAAUUAAUCCUAAUUUAAUUAACCUAAUUAACUAGUGUUAAUUAACAGAAUAGCCAAUGACAGGUGGGCCUGCUGUCCAGUUUGACCAAGUCAAACUGCUGACUGGACUAGCCUAGUCAUUGAUAGGAGGGUCCCACUAGACCCCUUUGACCAGUCAACGGUCCCAGUUGACUGAUGACUGGGAAGUCAACUGGACCCCACCUGUCAGCCCCUUUAGUACAUUGUUGUGUACAAGCUGUGGGUACACUUAGCAAUUUCACCUUUAAUUUUGAAAUUAUAAAUAAAUUCAGAAAAUUUUAGAAAUUGUUUAAAACUUUGAAAAAUCAUAUAAGAUAAACCGUAGCUCGGAUGAAAAAACUUCCUACAUGAAAGUUGCUCAGAACGACGAGACGAAUCCGGAUACGCAACCCGUUCGUCUGCCACACAUCCCUAACUUAUCGAACUCACAACUUUCCCCCUCCGGUUAAUCCAUCCGAAAACACGAAACACCGGGAAUCCUUUCCCGGAUGUUUCCCCCUUUCCUGGUAUCACCUAGUACUGCGUUAGGGCACACCUAGCACUGCGUAUUGCUAUGUUAUGCCUUGUGUUGCUUUGGUUGCUUUGUUAUUUAUUGUGUUCCCCCUCCGUCACUUUUUUCCGGUAGACCCCGAGACUGCCGGCGACCCCCCAGUUCGACUACGGUGUGGACGACCCCUCUCUCUUGCCAGAGCAACCAGGCAAGCCCCCCCUUUGAUCACUAGAUAUCGCCUACUCUUCUCUCUACUUCUUGCAUUAGAGUAGUGUAACAUGUUACUGCUUUUCGUUAUCCUAUCCUGAUGCAUAGCCUGUCCUUGCUACUACUGUUGUUACCUUUACCUGCAACCCUACAUGCCUAGUAUAGGAUGCUAGUUUUCCAUCAGUGGCCCUACAUUCUUGUCCGUCUGCCAUGCUAUAUUAUCGGGUCGUGAUCACUCGGGAGGUGAUCACGGGUAUAUACUUAUACAUAAUAUAUGAUACUUCUGAUGAGUAAAGACGGGUCGACUCGUAGGAGUACCCACGAGUGAUUCACGGAUUGGGUCCGAAAGGACGUUCGUCCUGACGGCCCUCUGAGUGGAUCUUUGUGGCGAAGCGACAGGGCAGGUUGAGACCACCUAGGAGAGAGGUGGGCCUGGCCCUGGUCGGCGUUCGCGGUUAUUUCAAGAUAACACAUUUAACGAGAUCUUGGUAUUUGAUCUGAGUCUGGCUAGUGGCCUAUACGCACUAACCAUCUACGCGGGGACAGUUAUGGGCACUCGACAUCGUGGUAUCAGCCGAAGCCUUCGUGAUGUCAGCGACUGAGCGGCGCGUGCCGGAUUGGACCAUAAGCCUGCUCUUGUAUUAAGGGGGCUAGUUCUGCUUCCGGCCGCCCUCGCAACGUGCAGGUGUGCAAUGGGCGAUGGGCCCAGACCCCUGCGCCAUAGGAUUUAGACCGGCGUGCUGACGUCUCUGUUGUGUCUAGGUAGGGCUACGACGUGUUGAUCUUCCAAGGCCAGGCAUGACCCAGAAAAGUGUGUCCGGCCAAAUGGGAUCGAGCGUGUUGGGUUAUGUGGUGCACCCCUGCAGGGAAGUUAAUCUAUUUGAAUAGCUGUGAUCUUCGGUAACAGGACGACUUGGAGUUGUACCUUGACCUUAUGACAACUAAAAACGGAUAAUUAAUAAAACACACCCUUCCAAGUGCCAGAUACAACCGGUGGUCGCUCUCUAACAGGGCGACGAGUGGAGGAUCAUCGGUUAGGUUUAUGCUAUGCGAUGCUACUUGGUGAACUUACCAUCUACUCUCUUCUCCUGCUGCAAGGUGGAUGUUACCAGAAGCGUAGUCUUUGAUAGGACUAGCUAUCCCCCUCUUAUUCCGGCAUUCUGCAGUCCAGUCCACAUAUGAUACCCUUAUUCUAGUUGAUACCGAUGCAUACAUAUCUAGUGUAGCUCCUUGCUUGUGAGUACUUUGGAUGAUUACUCACGGUUGCUUUACUCCCCCUUUUCCCACUUCCUAUACCCGAUUGCUACGACCAGACGUUGGAGCCCAGGAGCCAGACGCCACCGUCGACGACGACUACUACUACUCGGGAGGUGCCUACUACUACGUACAGCCCGCUGACGACGACCAGGAGUAGUUUAGGAGGAUCCCAGGCAGGUGGCCUGCGCCUCUUUUGAUCUGUAUCCCAGUUUGUGCUAGCCUUCUUAAGGCAAACUUGUUUAACUUAUGUCUGUACUCAGAUAUUGUUACUUCCGCUGACUCGUCUAUGAUCGAGCUCUUAUAUUCAAGCCCUCGAGGCCCCUGGCUUGUAAUAUGAUGCUUGUAUGACUUAUUUUAUUUGUAGAGUUGUGUUGUGAAAUCUUCCCGUGAGUCCCUGAUCUUGAUCGUACAUGUUUGCGUGUAUGAUUAGUGUACGAUUGAAUCGGGGGCCUCACAAGUUGGUAUCAGAGCCGACUGCCUGUAGGAAUCCCCCUUUCACACUCCUUGGCCGAAGUCGAGUCUAGACAUUACAAAAACUUUUACUAACAUGGUUGUGUGCCUUACGGGCCCACGUCGCCAUCUGGGUGGUAUUAGGAUCUUUUACUCCUCGUCUAUAUUCUAGGACUCUGAUGUCUCUCCUAUUCGGGUUAAAUGAUUUUGCUAAAAAGACUAACUUUAGGUUCUCGAAAAUACUUUUUCUCGGAGAGCCCCUCACUCCAGAUGAUCGCUUGCUGCACCAGAAGAUUCAGAAGAUACUCUCCGACGUUUUCCCGAGACCCUUGUGCCCACCGACUUUACAAUCCCCUACCAUCGAUAUACCCUUAUGGAUAACUACCUACAAUUGUCGUUCAUACCUUCAUCCUCAGUUGCUCUUGUUAUUACAAGAUGCCCUAAAUUGCUCUCCGUUGUUCCAAAAUGCCUUUACGCUUACUACCUUGCAGUUCUUUACCACAUGAAUACCCCUAUUGAAAAUUCCUUGCACUUAAUGAGUAUCUGUUCAUCCCCAGUUGUUUGUAUGCUUCAUAAGAUACUCUGAAAUGCUAUCCGACCUUCUGAGCCUCCUCUUAAAACUAUUGCUCUGCAAAUACUUGUAUGCUCACAUUAUGGAUGCUCCCAUAUCACUGGCAAUAUUCACUAGUAUCUUUUGACACCGUCAUUUUGAUCCUAUUGAUUCAACAUGUGUGCGAAUGCACACAAUCAUCAAUCAACCCUUAUAAAUUAUCUUUUCGGCUCAGAUAUCAUUUUGAACAUGAGCUGAUUCUCGACCAAACUAUUUGUCAUCAAUUGUGCCUCUGGUCUAUCCAACUUAUCCGUCCUUGAUCAGAGUGUCUACUUCUAAUCCUUCAUUUUGGAAACCGUAAUUUAUUUCUAUUUAAGCAUCAGACUAAUCAGGUGAUUCUUGAAUCCGAUGCCUCUGCACUCUUUCUUCCUCUGAGUGAGUACCGAUACUCAUAUUGGCUCCGUUGUGGAUCGCCCGAUCCAUUGCUAGAUUGUUAUCCGACAGUGUCCUUCAUAUUCAAUCACCUUGUGAGUUCUUCCCCUGAUACAUAAUGCCUUUGGUAAAUUGUAUCCUCUGCUUGGCCAACCAUGCUCUGCUUUCGAGCUUGUGUAGUUACUUUUGAAACUUGUGGUAUAUGUUACUAAGAUGCCCAACGGGUUGAACCCAUUCCUUCCCCUAAUCCGUGAGAACCCAGAAGUUUUCACGGGUCAUACUCCUAUGGUAAUUCACCAGGUAGGUUUUGUCACUGAAAUCAUGUUUAUCUAGAGCAUUGAAUGAAAGGCUAUGCAUUGAAGAAGUGGGAGUCGACCUUGAACUUUGUGUUCAUGCCCAUGGGCAUGAUGUAGAUCUUAUCAUUAAAGCUUCUCUUAAAUUAAAUUUUUCCCUUGGUAUAAGUUCUUAUAUCUGGGAUACGGCCUUUUGCAAUCGUGGUUUAGACCAUAUGUUCUUCUUUGAUCCCAUUUCUCGGGCAAGUUUAAACACUUGUCUUCUAUGGAUCAAUAUAGCAGUCCAACCUUUACUUUGAUAUUUCAUCGAGUACUACACCCUGGUUUCUCGAGAUUAACACGGAACUGCAUAAUUUCUUAUGAGUUCUCCAUCAGGUACUGCAUUCUCACUGAUUCCAAAAAAAAUUUCACGGGCUCUGAGUCAUUAAACACUCAAAGACACCGAUAACUGAAUCGAGUCUGCACCGCAAUUAAACAACUCUUGGUAACCUUCAGUUCAUUCCUAGCCUGCUCGGCUAUAUCAUUAUCAUGCUGAUUUUAACUAUGCUACCCGGUCCUUAAUCCGGAGCACCACUUUCGAUGAUGAGCAAAGCUUACGUCGAUCUUCCUCGUCAUGUCAUUUAGCCUUGAACAACAAGCUUGAAUUUCGAGUUUGUGUCGUACUCUUGGUUCCAAUAACCUUUCGCUUCAUCAUUCCUUUGACUUGAUGCCAUCGUGGUUCGAUUGCUUCCUCAUGGAGCCUCUCGACAAAAUUUGUUGUGAGCAUCAUCAACAUUUUAACUCCUUCCAGGAAAUCAAUUGAAUUCAUGAUGAGAAAUACCAUCUUUGCCCUCGAUGAUUUGUUUUAUCAUCGACCACUUUAUUGCCUUCCGUUCAACACAUACUUGUUCGUGUUUUGUGUUAUACCUUGAGAUCCUUGCUAACCAACAAUUGUUCUCCUUUACCUUGGAGUAUUACCAUCUUUUUAUGUCAAGAAUGUCGUGAGAAUUUCACCACCACUGAAGAAUUCUUGAUAUAGGUGAUACUUCUUGCCAUAUCCGUUCAUUCCUUGGCCAGGAGUUCAAAACUUCUAGCAACCCUAUUGCUUUGAAGUUAAUGGUCGAUAAUUCAUUCUUAGACUAUUGAUUAUUGAAUCACCAUUCUGACAUUGGUCGUGCGACCCAACCCAUAAUUCGGGCCCACCUUACAACCAAUGUUUAAUUGUGUAUGUUUUCCUCGAGCAUACUUCAUUAUAUUAUUUGAUCUGACAAAUGUUAUCUCCCUAUCCACAUAAUUGUGGAGAUGCAUCCUUUUGGAUACCUCGUUGAAUUAUUGCUGAGUCCAUCAACCACUUCCUCAUCCUCCCCUUGGCUUAAUGAUGAACCCUUGAUCGGGACUCGCUUUCAUAGUUCAUUUCCCAAGAGUCAUAUAAUGUCAUCUCGUCAAUUGUGUUGCACCUCUUCUUCUCAGGCACCCCGAGUCUGAGAUAUCCUAACACCAAUCAGAUAUGAAUCCCGGUCAGAUAUGAUGGUUGGGACAUAUCUCCAAGAGUUAUAACACUGAUCCUUAUAUAUUGGUAAGGUGAUGUCAUGCCCAUCACACCUGGCCGGAGGACUUGUGGUUAUAGUUUCCAUUUUAGUAAGGUUAUCCUUUAUUCCAUGAGAAAAUAGUAAGACUUAUUCUAUAAGUUGUUCCUGAUGGAUCCUUUGUGUAUCCAUAGCCUAAUCCUUACCUGAUGACCAUGUCAAUGCUAUCUCGAAGCCUGUCUGUGGUACUCCGAUUUUCAACAAGAACAUUUGAAGCCAAUGCUAAAUGUUUCUUGCUCAAUUAUCCAAACACCGUUGUAUGGGUAAUGUCAUGAAAUUUCUCUCCCCUUACCUAAGGGGUUUUCUCCAUGAUAUCCUGCCACGGAUAUCAUGCUCUGCUUGUCCUUGGGAAGGAUAUAUCCCUGAAUUAUGUGUUUAAAACACAUUUUCCUUUCCAUUCUUCUGUUUAAACCUGAUAAUUGCAUUUUCCUUUCCAUUGUCUUGCUAAGCUUUCUUGUAAUCUGACUUAACUGUGCAGUGAUAAUUCCCUUAGUAAGCACCUCAUUGUACAACUCUGAUAGUGAGACCCUGUUACUAUUGUUGAUGACAUUCCGGUAACCACCGGUGGAUGAGAACUUUGCCUAUUGGUCCGCCUCGUUUCAACGAGCAGGAAAAUCGUUCUCUUCAUCCCUCGCCCUUGGUACCGAUGUUGUUGCUGACAUAACUGGCAGGUUAUUAUCUGACGUGCCUUGCUAUCAUAACCGUGCAAGAUGUCAUCGCUCUUUCUACUUUUAUCCCACAUGGUGGGCCCAUAACCCACAGCUCCACAGGAUCGAAACCUGACUCUCCUGUACAUCCCCUGUUCCCAAAUAUAUUCCUCGCGUUUGACUUCGUAUGUAAUUCACGGGCCACCUACCUAGUGAUCUAUUGUAGUAUCAAACACAAAACUUGUUCCCAUUGCUCUGGACCCCCUUUUACACUUUGUUUCGGGCUUCAAACGAUUGCCUACCAGCUUGAAACUUCUCAUGGUACCAUCUUACUUUUCUCUCGAUAUUUUCUUAAGUUUCAGUUUGAGAGUUACCUUCUGCCACCUUCCCCGAUGUUAGCUACCAUAUGGUCAACCUUGCAGAGGUUCGUUCUCCCAUAAUAACUACGCCUUAUUCUACCGUAAGUACGAUGGAGUUCCCGAAAAAAGGAUGUCGACUUCAUCAUGAUGACCUGAAGCAGAGAAAUGAAGACAUCAUCGUAGUGGAUCUACCUCUUCGAGAAGAGCAACCAAGACUGAGAAGAUUCGUUAGGAUUUCAUAACCAGACCUUUCCCCCUUAUUCCACCUCUUAAAUCUCGGGACAAGAUUUCUUGUAGUGGAGGAGAAUUGUGACGCCCGGAUAGUUACGCUAUAGUAACCCUCCGCUAAUGAUGCCACGUCACCUCGAUUACUGUGGCUAAUCUCGCGUUAGUUCGAAACCGAUUCGAAUUCAAAUUAAAAAUCAGGCAAAUGGCAAAAGUUUUCAAACAAUGAAACUAAAAUGUCCGGGUCAUGCCAGAUAAUGCAUAGGUGAUUAUGGUGGUGAAACCAAACUUUUAUGAAAUGCUUAACUACACUAUAAUGAUUUAAAUAGUAGCAAAACUAAUUAUUUAAAUGCCUUUACUAAUUAAUAAAAUAUCAAACUAAAUUAUUU